UACGUAGGGGGGCAAGCGUUUGUCCGGAAUUAUUGGGCGUAAAGCGUACGUAGGCGGUUAUCUAAGUCUGGUGUUAAAGCUAGAGGCUCAACCUCUGUGUUGCACUGGAAAACUGGGGUGACUUGAGAACGGUAGGGGGAAGGUGGAAUUCCGAGUGUAGCGGUGAAAUGCGUAGAUAUUCGGAAGAACACCAACGGCGAAGGCAGCUCGCUGGGACGGUACUGACGCUGAGACGCGAAAAAGCGUGGGGGGAGCGAACAGG
rnacentral:rRNA from 1 species